UACAGAGGAGCCAAGCGUUGUCCGGAUUGACUGGGCGUAAAGCACACGCAGGCGGUCGCGCGCGUGGGGUGUGAAAUCUGGCCGCUUAACGGCCAGGCGCCAUCCCAUACGGCGCGACUGGAGUGAUGCAGAGGUCGGUGGAAUUGCCGGUGUAGUGGUGAAAUGCGCAGAUAUCAGGAGGAACACCGGUGGCGAAGGCGGGUCUCUGGGCAGGUAACUGACGCUGAGGAGCGAAAGCGUGGGGAGCGAACAGG
rnacentral:rRNA from 1 species